GGUGGCUCAGUGGUAGAGUGCUUGCCUUGCAUGCAUGAAGUCCUGGGUUCAAUUCCUCAGCACCA
rfam:Dipodomys ordii contig_9224, whole genome shotgun sequence.